rnacentral:tRNA from 1 species
GGGCGGAUACUCAAGUGGCCAACGAGGGCAGACUGUAAAUCUGCUGGCUUAUGCCUACGGGGGUUCGAAUCCCUCUCCGCCCA